rnacentral:rRNA from 1 species
ACGUAGGGGGCAAGCGUUAUCCGGAUUUACUGGGUGUAAAGGGAGCGUAGACGGCGAGGCAAGUCUGAUGUGAAAACCCGGGGCUCAACCCCGUGACUGCAUUGGAAACUGUUUUACUUGAGUGCCGGAGAGGUAAGCGGAAUUCCUAGUGUAGCGGUGAAAUGCGUAGAUAUUAGGAGGAACACCAGUGGCGAAGGCGGCUUACUGGACGGCAACUGACGUUGAGGCUCGAAAGCGUGGGGAGCAAACAG